rnacentral:rRNA from 1 species
GAGGGAAAAGGAGCAAUCCGCUUUGAGAUGGCCUCGCGUCCGAUUAGCUAGUUGGUGAGGUAACGGCCCACCAAGGCGACGAUCGGUAGCCGGACUGAGAGGUUGAACGGCCACAUUGGGACUGAGACACGGCCCAGACUCCUACGGGAGGCAGCAGUGGGGAAUAUUGCACAAUGGGGGAAACCCUGAUGCAGCGACGCCGCGUGGAGGAAGAAGGUCUUCGGAUUGUAAACUCCUGUUGUUGAGGAAGAUAAUGACGGUACUCAACAAGGAAGUGACGGCUAACUACGUGCCAGCAGCCGCGGUAAAACGUAGGUCACAAGCGUUGUCCGGAAUUACUGGGUGUAAAGGGAGCGCAGGCGGGAAGACAAGUUGGAAGUGAAAUCCAUGGGCUCAACCCAUGAACUGCUUUCAAAACUGUUUUUCUUGAGUAGUGCAGAGGUAGGCGGAAUUCCCGGUGUAGCGGUGGAAUGCGUAGAUAUCGGGAGGAACACCAGUGGCGAAGGCGGCCUACUGGGCACCAACUGACGCUGAGGCUCGAAAGUGUGGGUAGCAAACAGGAUUAGAUACCCUGGUAGUCCACACUGUAAACGAUGAAUACGAGGUGUUGGAGGAUUGACCCCUUCAGUGCCGC